rnacentral:rRNA from 1 species
UUUAACUGAAGAGUUUGAUCAUGGCUCAGAUUAACGCUGGCGCAGGCUUAACAUGCAAGUCGAGCGGGGAAGGUUGCUACUGACCUAGCGGUGACGGUGAGUAAUGCUUAGAAUCUGCCUAUUAGUAGGGACAACAUCUCGAAAGGGGAUGCUAAUACCGCAUAAUGUCCUACGGGAGAAAGUUAGGAUCUUCGGACCUUGCGCUAAUAGAUGAGCCUAAGUCGGAUUAGCUAGUUGGUGGGGUAAAGGCCUACCAAGGCGACGAUCUGUAGCGGGUCUGAGAGGAUGAUCCGCCACACUGGGACUGAGACACGGCCCAGACUCCUACGGGAGGCAGCAGUGGGGAAUAUUGGACAAUGGGGGGAACCCUGAUCCAGCCAUGCCGCGUGUGUGAAGAAGGCCUUAUGGUUGUAAAGCACUUUAAGCGAGGAGGAGGCUACUUUAGUUAAUACCUAGAGAUAGUGGACGUUACUCGCAGAAUAAGCACCGGCUAACUCUGUGCCAGCAGCCGCGGUACAGUUGGUAGAGGGUGCGGAGCGUUAAUCGGAUUUACUGGGCGUAAAGCGUGCGUAGGCGGCUUAUUAAGUCGGAUGUGAAAUCCCCGAGCUUAACUUGGGAAUUGCAUUCGAUACUGGUGAGCUAGAGUAUGGGAGAGGAUGGUAGAAUUCCAGGUGUAGCGGUGAAAUGCGUAGAGAUCUGGAGGAAUACCGAUGGCGAAGGCAGCCAUCUGGCCUAAUACUGACGCUGAGGUACGAAAGCAUGGGGAGCAAACAGGAUUAGAUACCCUGGUAGUCCAUGCCGUAAACGAUGUCUACUAGCCGUUGGGGCCUUUGAGGCUUUAGUGGCGCAGCUAACGCGAUAAGUAGACCGCCUGGGGAGUACGGUCGCAAGACUAAACUCAAAUGAAUUGACUGGCUCCGCACAAGCGGUGGAGCAUGUGGUUCGAUAACGCGAAGAACCUACCUGGCCUUGACAUACUAGAAACUUUCCAGAGAUGGAUUGGUGCCUUCGGGGAAUCUAGAUACAGGUGCUGCAUGGCUGUCGUCAGCUCGUGUCGUGAGAUGUUGGGUUAAGUCCCGCAACGAGCGCAACCCUUUUCCUUACUUGCCAGCAUUUCGGAUGGGAACUUUAAGGAUACUGCCAGUGACAAACUGGAGGAAGGCGGGGACGACGUCAAGUCAUCAUGGCCCUUACGGCCAGGGCUACACACGUGCUACAAUGGUCGGUACAAAGGGUUGCUACACAGCGAUGUGAUGCUAAUCUCAAAAAGCCGAUCGUAGUCCGGAUUGAGUCUGCAACUCGACCCAGAAGUCGGAAUCGCAAUCAGGAUCAAUGCCGCGGUGGAAGAUCGUUCCCGGGCUUUCCUGUACACACCGCCCGUCAUGGGAGUUUGUUGCACCAGAAGUAGCUAGCCUAACUGCAAAGAGGGCGCAGGUUACUACGGCGGCCGAUGACUGGUGAAGUCGCAACAAGGCAGCCGUAGGGGAACCCAGGCUGGAUCACCUCCUA